AGCAGCCGCGGUAAUUCCAGCUCCAAUAGCGUAUAUUAAAGUUGUUGCAGUUAAAAAGCUCGUAGUUGAAUUUCGGGAUCAAUUAAUUGGUCGUGCCUCUGGUACGUACUGAUUUUAUUGGUUUCUCCCUUCUGACGAACCAUGAUGUCAUUAAUUUGAUGUCGUGGAGAAUCAGGACUGUUACUUUGAAAAAAUUAGAGUGUUUAAAGCAAGCUAACGCUUGAAUACAUUAGCAUGGAAUAAUGAAAUAGGACGUUUGAUCCUAUUUUGUUGGUUUCUAGGAUCGACGUAAUGAUUAAUAGGGAUAGUUGGGGGCAUUAGUAUUCAAUUGUCAGAGGUGAAAUUCUUGGAUUUAUUGAAGACUAACUACUGCGAAAGCAUUUGCCAAGGAUGUUUUCAUUAAUCAAGAACGAAAGUUAGGGGAUCGAAGACGAUCAGAUACCGUCGUAGUCUUAACCAUAAACUAUGCCGACUA
rnacentral:rRNA from 1 species